AGAAUCAACGCUGGCGGCGUGCCUAACACAUGCAAGUCGCACCGAGAAAGGGGCUUCGGCUCUGAGUAAAGUGGCGCACGGGUGAGUAACACGUGAAUAAUCUACCUCCGAGUGGGGAAUAACUGAGAGAAAUCUUAGCUAAUACCGCAUAACACUUACGAGUCAAAGCAGCAAUGCGCUUGGAGAGGAGUUCGCGGCCGAUUAGUUAGUUGGCGGGGUAAUGGCCCACCAAGACGAUGAUCGGUAUCCGGCCUGAGAGGGCGCACGGACACACUGGAACUGAAACACGGUCCAGACUCCUACGGGAGCAGCAGUGGGGAAUUUUGCGCAAUGGGGGAAACCCUGACGCAGCAACGCCGCGUGGAGGAUGAAAUAUCUUGGUAUGUAAACUCCUUUCGAUGGGGAAGAUAAUGACGGUACCCAUAGAAGAAGCCCCGGCUAACUUCGCGCCAGCAGCCGC
rnacentral:rRNA from 1 species